rnacentral:rRNA from 1 species
UUUUCGGCAAUGGGGGGAACCCUGACCGAGCAACGCCGCGUGAGCGAUGAAGGCCUUCGGGUCGUAAAGCUCUGUCCUCAAGGAAGAUAAUGAUGGUACUUGAGGAGGAAGCCCCGGCUAACUACGUGCCAGCAGCCGCGGUAAUACGUAGGGGGCUAGCGUUAUCCGGAAUUACUGGGCGUAAAGGGUGCGUAGGUGGUUUCUUAAGUCAGAGGUGAAAGGCUACGGCUCAACCGUAGUAAGCCUUUGAAACUGGGGAACUUGAGUGCAGGAGAGGAGAGUGGAAUUCCUAGUGUAGCGGUGAAAUGCGUAGAUAUUAGGAGGAACACCAGUUGCGAAGGCGGCUCUCUGGACUGUAACUGACACUGAGGCACGAAAGCGUGGGGAGCAAACA